AACACACAACGGAAAUCUUCGUCCCGCCCACUCCCUCUCCAUCCCUCAGACUCUUCUGGAGCGGUGUCAUUGGCUGUGCCCUCUGCCUGUCUCCAGGGUCUUCAUGAAUCACCAGUCUCAGAAAAGCAGUCAAGCCCUUCGAAGAGCAGACACCUGCCCACACGCGCUGCCUCCACCUCCCCACCUUGGAGUCACCUUCCACUCCUCCCAUUUGGUUAGCUUCAGUUUGUCAGAACCAGUUGGGAUGCAACAGGAUUUUCAGUUUUGCUGUCUUCCAUGCAUGAAUGGCUGUUGGAAUGACCAAGAUGAUUUUUCCACCCAUUCUUGGGACCUGGACUAUGAUGGCCACAGCAGCUAAAGAUGCCAGGUAUCUAUCUCAACAUAGCCUCUCCACGUGGCUAGCUUGAGCUUCCUCACAGUAUGGCAGUCUCA
rnacentral:lncRNA from 1 species